rnacentral:misc_RNA from 1 species
GGAAGGAUCAUUAAAACGUUCCAAACGUAUAAACCAAUCGUGAACUUAUCACCCUUUGAGGUAAAGAAGUCAAAUUGGCAGACUGUUAUCUUUGUGAUGGAUGCAGUCUGUUGCGGGUCAAACCGCCUUUACUUUGAAGUGGUUAUGCAUCACUACUAUAACUUACUAAACCCUUUAACUUAUUAUGAACUGACUUGUUGUUUAGUGAGCUUCUGCUCACGUAACAAUCUUUACGAAAAUUACGAACAACUCUUAACAACGGAUAUCUUGGUUCUCGUACCGAUGAAGAACGCAGCGAAAUGCGAUACGUAAUGCGAAUUGCAGAAUUCAGUGAAUCAUCAAAUCUUUGAACGCAAAUUGCGCUUUCGGGAUAGGCCUGGAAGCACGCCUCUUUGAGUAUCGAUUCCACCACAUUCACCAAUGUGCUUUUGCAUAUUAGUGGUAAUUGAGCUUUCAUUGUCGCAAGACAAUGUGGCUUUAAAAGUGUUAAGUUCUGGUAGCCUCGUGAAGUCUGGCUUUUGUCAGAUAGCUUUCACAUAAGGGCAUGUUCGGUGUCGCUAGUGACGUGGAUAAUUUCGUCUUGUACGAAUCUUCCAAACGUGACUAGAUGGUGUCGAUGGUUCUUGCUGUUGAAAGUGAACGCACGGGCUCCAAUUAUAAGAACGAAAUCGAAAGUCUGAAAUGGCUUUCAAUACCUUGAAUUAGAUCUCAAAUGAAGCGAGAAAACCCGCUGAACUUAAGCAUAUCAUUAAGCGGAGGAAAAGAAACUAACAAGGAUGCCCUUAGUAACGGCGAGUGAAGCGGGCAAAGCUCAAACUGAAAAUCGGGGUCCCAUGCGGGAUUUCGAAUUGUAGUCUAAUGACGUACCUUCAGUUGUGACCUGGGUAUAAAUCUUUUGAAACAAGGUAUCAUAGAGGGUGAGAAUCCCGUCUUUGACUCAGAGUUCACAGCGUACGAAGUGCGUUCACAGAGUCGAGUUGCUUGGGAUUGCAGCUCUAAAUGGGUGGUAAAUUUCAUCUAAAGCUAAAUAUCGACGAGAGACCGAUAGCGAACAAGUACCGUGAGGGAAAGAUGAAAAGAACUUUGAAAAGAGAGUUAAAAAGUACUUGAAAUUGUUAAGAGGGAAGCACUGGAAACCAGUCGUGCUGAGUGGCAUAUCAGCCUGUUUGCAAGUUGGAUGCGGUGUGCCAUGUGCGUAAGCCUUGGUUGUGCCGCGGAAGAUUUGUGGGCGGGAAGCGUGUCAUUUGGUGAGUCAAAAUCAGUUUGUCUCGUGGGAGAAAGCUAUGAGGAAGGUAGGGUUGCGGGGUAACACCCAAGGCCUGUUAUAGACUUGUAGUGCUACCAUGGGAUAGACUGAGGAUCAUAAUACGCACCACUAGGUAGCGACUCCCAACCCUGACGUUUGAUCGGUGUCUUAGAACAAAGUUCUGAGCGUCGAGUAGGGCGUCACUGGAACAACCGGGUCAGUCAGCUGCAGUAUUCGAGAUUUUGACGAAAUGGUUUUCAUUGACCCGUCUUGAAACACGGACCAAGGAGUCUAACAUAUAUGCGAGUAUUUGGGUGGUAAACCCUGAUGCGUAAUGAAAGUGAAUGCUGCUUGCAGCUGAGGUAGGAACCACAUUAGUGGGGCACUAUCGACCGAUCGUCACUUGUGAUAGAUUUGAGUAUGAGCAUAUCUGUUGGGACCCGAAAGAUGGUGAUCUAUGCCUGAACAGGGCGAAGCCAGGGGAAACUCUGGUGGAGGCUCGUAGCGAUACUGACGUGCAAAUCGUUCGUCUGAUUUGGGUAUAGGGGCGAAAGACUAAUCGAACCAUCUAGUAGCUGGUUCCCUC